rnacentral:rRNA from 1 species
UACGAAGGGGGCUAGCGUUGUUCGGAAUUACUGGGCGUAAAGAGUUCGUAGGCGGUUUAUUAAGCUAGAUGUGAAAUCCCUGAGCUUAACUCAGGAACUGCAUUUAGAACUGGUAGGCUAGAGAGUGUUAGAGGUUGGUAGAAUUCCUAGUGUAGGGGUGAAAUCCGUAGAUAUUAGGAGGAAUACCGAUGGCGAAGGCAGCCAACUGGGACAUUUCUGACGCUGAGGAACGAAAGCGUGGGUAGCAAACAGG